CAAGAGCAACUCAGAGGCAAUUCCUUGGCAGAUCUUGGCCUCGACAUAUUAGAAUACUACAAACUUUAUUGCAUCUUUCCUUAUCAAUAUUCGGUGUCCAUUCAACUCAUGCUGAUGAAUUUGUUUCUUUUUCUCCUAAGCCAUUCUACAAUGCACAUACCCACUACAACAAAUGUACUUUGGACUGGCCUACCGAUGAUCACCCUUCCCCUUGAGAAUUUAGCAACUGGCCGUUGUGUUUGGCCACAAGGGUUGCUGAGGAGAUGAUUGUUAGCAGGUAGGUAUUUCGGACUUAAAGGUUUCUAUGAUAGAUUUUAUCGUGACAAACAUUUUUCUUUCUUAAGAUGAUAUUUUCAUUAAAUUGUGUUUUAGAAGCUCAUACUCUUAAUGCAUGUGAACAUCGUGUUGGAAUUCUUGCGAUUUAUAUACAUAACGAUAAUUCUUUUACAAAACAUAAAAAAUAUAAGAUCUUACAACUUUAACUUUUUUUAAUUCAAGUAAAUCCAUACUCUAAUAUGCUAAUGUAGAAAUUUUAUAUUGAAACUAAACUAUAAAAAUCAAAGAAGGAUUUACCAAAAGCCUCAAAUGGUACGCUGAUUUAGCAAUACAUGUUUGAUGAAUACAAAUAAGCCUGUCAUUUGACUAAAUAAUUAUGGUGUUGGAACUUUCUCAAUAUUUUUUUAGAUGUAGUUCUCCCAACUUUACAUAUUUCUUUUGUUUUACUGUAGUUCUCCCUGACUUUCUUAUUUGUUUUAUUUAAUGAUCAUGUGCUUUUUAUGCAUUAUUUUAUUUAUCAUGGUGGAAGUCGAAAUCACUUGUGCCGUUAAAUAAAACUUCUGAAUUUACAAUAUUUACAAACAUCAUGUUCAGAUUCUUUUUAGAUUUAUUCAGAAAUGCUUUUGAAUUCAUUUCUAAUUUUAUGGUAGUCUAUUUUUCACAGCUUUGCACGCCCUGACUAAAUUUCUUUUAUCUCCAUACUGGAAAAUUGAAAAACUGAUCUGUUUGUGCCGUUGGAAAGAGAACUUCUGGGGCUACAAUAUAUACAAAAACCAG
rnacentral:lncRNA from 1 species